UACGAAGGGGGCUAGCGUUGCUCGGAAUCACUGGGCGUAAAGCGCACGUAGGCGGCUUUCUAAGUCAGGGGUGAAAUCCCGGAGCUCAACUCCGGAACUGCCUUUGAUACUGGAAAGCUUGAGUUCGGGAGAGGUGAGUGGAACUGCGAGUGUAGAGGUGAAAUUCGUAGAUAUUCGCAAGAACACCAGUGGCGAAGGCGGCUAUCUGGACGGUUUCUGACGCUAAGACGCGAAAGCGUGGGGAGCAAACAGG
rnacentral:rRNA from 1 species